GAUGAACGCUGGCGGCGUGCCUAAUACAUGCAAGUCGAGCGAAAAGACGAGGAGCUUGCUCCACUGAAGUUAGCGACGGACGGGUGAGUAACAGGUGGAUUACCUACCUAUAAGACUGGGAUAACUGCGGGAAACCGGAGCUACUACCGGAUAAUAUAUUGAACGGCAUGGUUGAAUAGUGAAUGACGGUUUUGAUGUCAUUUAUAGCUGGAUCCGCGCUGGAUUAGCUAGUUGGUAAGGUAACGGCUUGCGAUGGCAACGAUGCGUAGCCGACCUGGGAGGGUGUUGGCCCACUGAGGGGCUGGACCGCGAUCCUGACUCCGACGGGAGGCAGCAGUAGGUAAUCGAGCGCGAUGUGGGAAAGCCUGACGAAGCGGCGCCACGUUGAUGAUGAGAGUCUUCGUAUCGGAAGACUCUGUUAUGGUUGAAGAACAAAUGUGUAAGUAACGAUGCACUUCUUGACGGUACCUAGUCAGGAAGCCACGGCUAACUACGUG
rnacentral:rRNA from 1 species